AUUGAACGCUGGCGGCAUGCCUUACACAUGCAAGUCGAACGGCAGCACGGGAGCAAUCCUGGUGGCGAGUGGCGAACGGGUGAGUAAUGUAUCGGAACGUGCCCAGUCGUGGGGGAUAACGUAGCGAAAGUUACGCUAAUACCGCAUACGAUCUUUGGAUGAAAGCGGGGGAUCGCAAGACCUCGCGCGAUUGGCGCGGCCGAUAUCAGAUUAGGUAGUUGGUGGGGUAAAGGCUCACCAAGCCGACGAUCUGUAGCUGGUCUGAGAGGACGACCAGCCACACUGGGACUGAGACACGGCCCAGACUCCUACGGGAGGCAGCAGUGGGGAAUUUUGGACAAUGGGCGCAAGCCUGAUCCAGCAAUGCCGCGUGCAGGACGAGGCCUUCGGGUUGUAAACUGCUUUUGUACGGAACGAAACGGUCCUCUUUAAUACAGAGGGCUAAUGACGGUACCGUAAGAAUAAGCACCGGCUAACUACGUGCCAGCCGCCGCCGUAA
rnacentral:rRNA from 1 species